rnacentral:rRNA from 1 species
CCCCACUGCUAUCGGGAUGGGACUAAGACAUGCUAGUCGAGCGUCUCCAAGCUAUGGAAGAGACGCGGCACACAGCUCAGUAACACGUGGCUAACCUGCCCUUGGGACAAGGACAACUCCGGGAAACUGGGGCUAAUCCCUGAUAAGUGAGAACUCCUGGAAUGGAUUCUCGCUCAAAGGACGUUUAGACCAUGCUUCUAGGCGUCGCCCAAGGAGGGGGCCGCGACCGAUCAGGUUGUUGGUGAGGUAACGGCUCACCAAGCCUUUAACCGGUACGGGCCGUGAGAGCGGAAGCCCGGAGAUGGGCACUGAGACAAGGGCCCAGGCCCUACGGGGCGCAGCAGUCGCGAAAACUCCGCAAUACACGAAAGUGUGACGGGGCCAUCCCGAGUGCCAUCCGCUGAGGAUGGCUUUUCCCCAGUGUAUAAAGCUGGGGGAAUAAGGAGAGGGCAAGCCUGGUGUCAGCCGCCGCGGUAAUACCAGCUCUCCGAGUGGUGGGGAUGUUUAUUGGGCCUAAAGCAUUCGUAGCCUGCUUGGCAAGUCCUCCGUUAAAUCCAACGAUUCAAUCGUUGGGCUGCGGGGGAUACUGUCCAGCUAGGGGGCGGGAGAGGCCGACGGUAUCCCCGGGGUAGGGGUGAAAUCCUAUAAUCCCGGGAGGACCACCAGUGGCGAAGGCUGUCGGCUAGAACGCGCUCGACGGUGAGGGAUGAAAGCUGGGGGAGCGAACCGGAUUAGAUACCCGGGUAGUCCCAGCUGUAAACGAUGCAGGCUAGGUGUUGGCGCGGCUACGUGCCGCUCCAGUGCCGCAGGGAAGCCGUUAAGCCUGCCGCCUGGGAAGUACGGCCGCAAGGCUGAAACUUAAAGGAAUUGGCGGGGGAGCACCACAAGGUGUGAAGCUUGCGGUUU